AUUCAUUUGAAGAUUUUACAAGCAAUCUUAGUGUUGAUGAUAUUGAAGCACUUGAUGAUGAAGAUAAUCUUAUAGAGGCAUUGCUUUUGAAUGAUGAAGAUGAGGAUGAGUACAUGUGGAAUGAGAUGAUUACAAGCGUCAUUCAUCAAUUAAAUGUGAUGAAGCAGGUUCCUCGACUAUGUCGAACUAGACCAUUCUCUGGUCAUAUGCUUGUAGAAGAUAUGUUGGCUGGACAUCCUGAUCGUUCAUAUUCUUGCUUUCGAAUGAGUUCUAAGAUUAUAUCCAACUUCUCAUGGCUGACGUAGACGAUCAUCCUAAGAUUCGAGAGAAUCCCAAUUUCUUUCCAUAUUUCAAGAAAGCAUUGGGAGCAAUUGAUGGAUCUCAUAUUCCUAUAAUUGUGAAAAAAAGAAACACAACAGGUAUCGUAAUUGAAAGAAUUUCAUAUCUCAAAAUGUAAUGGCAGCGUGCUCCUUUGAUCAUACUUUUCUUUAUAUGGCUGCUGGAUGGGAGGGGUCAGCAUCUGAUAUGUCAGUACUUCGUGCAACACUAGAAGAUGGUAAAUUUAAUGUUCCUGAAGGUCGAUUUUACUUAGUUGACUCGGGAUAUGCUAAUACUUCAAAAUUUAUCGCCCCAUAUCGUGGAUCACGCUAUCAUCUUGGAGAUUUUGCAAAUAGGACCACCAAAGCUUAUCGAGAUACUAAAGACAAAUAUAAUCAUAGGCAUGCACAACUACGUAAUGCAGUGGAAAAAGCAUAGGGAAUUUUAAAGCAAAGAUUCAAAAUUUUAAAAGUUACUGCUCCAUUUCCUUAUAAAACUCAAGUCAAAAUCGUUGUAGCUUGUUGUGUUCUUCAUAAUUUUAUUGCAAGGCAGCAGAGAAAUGAUAAAUACUUUAAUAUGCUCAAUGGAUUAGAGAUGCAUGAGGAUGAAGAUGAGGUGGAGGAGGAAGAAGACACCCAAUACAUGGUUGGUGCAGAUGAAAGUUUAAGGGGUGAGCAGCUUCGCAACAGGAUUGCUUUACAGCUUUGGAAUAAUUGAAAUAUGUAGUUGUCGAAUAUUGAAGCAUAAGGAGGUUGAAUUAUGUCUUUUACUAUCUUUAUAUGAGAAAAACUUAUAAUUU